AACUUUCAACAACGGAUCUCUUGGCUCUCGCAUCGAUGAAGAACGCAGCGAAAUGCGAUACGUAAUGUGAAUUGCAGAAUUCAGUGAAUCAUCGAAUCUUUGAACGCACCUUGCGCCCCUUGGUAUUCCGAGGGGCACACCCGUUUGAGUGUCGUGAAUAUCUCAACCUUCUC
rnacentral:rRNA from 1 species